rnacentral:tRNA from 1 species
UAUAGGAAUUUCCAUUUCAGGAUUUAGAAUAUAUUGGUGCUGAUAUAUUCUUUUUAUCAGAAUCCAAGUGUAA